rnacentral:rRNA from 1 species
CGCGUAGGCGGUUUGUACAGUCAGACGUGAAAUUCCUGGGCUCAACCUGGGGGCUGCGUUUGAUACGUGCAGACUUGAGUUCGGAAGAGGGUCGUGGAAUUCCCAGUGUAGAGGUGAAAUUCGUAGAUAUUGGGAAGAACACCGGUGGCGAAGGCGGCGACCUGGUCCGAUACUGACGCUGAGGCGCGAAAGCGUGGGGAAGCAAACA